AGAGCGAGCCUCCGAGAGCGCGCGCAACAAACAGAGAGCAGAACCUAGUAAAAAUCAACUUUUGUUUACAACGUUGUAGCCGGCUAGCGGCACUAGUGGCAUCAAGAGGGGGUUUGUUUUGCCCAGAGCGCAAGCGUCACAGCUGAGCAAGAGAGUGCAUGCGGCUGAGAGAGUGCCACUGUUAAGCAGCGCUUAUCGUUUACAUAAUUUAAUUUCCUUUUACUUAAGCACUUACAGUGGCAAUCAAAAUACCGAGAGAACCAUAAAUGCGGAGAGCAUUCAGAGAGCCGAGUAUGUUUGAGAAACAAUGUUAACAUCAGCAGAGCUAAGAGCUGUUAAAUUAUGUACGUGCUGUUGAAGUCAACAACAGCAGCGUAGCAGGUGCAUUUGCGGCAUAUCAAAAACAUUACGAACAUGUAAUUGACUAUGUAAACGGCUGGAACUGUUAUUAAUGCCAUACCUACAUAGAGCUGUUAAACAGACUGUCGGUCCGGUGGCACUUAAAGUUCAAAUGCCAAGCACGUAUGCUAAUUAUGACAAAAUAAAUACAUUUUCCGCAUUAACCCAUUUGUUGACGAGACACUUAACUCUAUUUUUGCCCAUUAUUGCCCACAUGAGUCCUCGUCAAACCACAUACGGACUAACAGUUGGGUAUGACUGGGAAGUCGGAGGCAGAGACACAGGCAAUGGCCAUGGAACGAACAUCUUCCAUAAAAUGCAGCCUUUGCUUUUAGCAGUCUGUUAAGGCGCACAAACACCCAACGCCUCAUUAACAUUUCAAAUUCAUGGCAGUGUUGAACGUAAAACGACCCAUUUGUCUGACAUUAACAGCAGCAGCGCAGCAGCGGAGCAGCAGCCGUCGCUUUUACAUUGCAAACCCAAACGAGCCAUUAACAUUUAAAUUGAUGGUAAG